rnacentral:rRNA from 1 species
AUUGAACGCUGGCGGCAGGCCUAACACAUGCAAGUCGAACGGUAACAGGAAACAGCUUGCUGUUUCGCUGACGAGUGGCGGACGGGUGAGUAAUGUCUGGGAAACUGCCUGAUGGAGGGGGAUAACUACUGGAAACGGUAGCUAUACCGCAUAACGUCGCAAGACCAAAGAGGGGGACCCUCGGGCCUCUUGCCAUCGGAUGUGCCCAGAUGGGAUUAGCUUGGUGGUGGGGUAACGGCUCACCAAGGCGACGAUCCCUAGCUGGUCUGAGAGGAUGACCAGCCACACUGGAACUGAGACACGGUCCAGACUCCUACGGGAGGCAGCAGUGGGGAAUAUUGCACAAUGGGCGCAAGCCUGAUGCAGCCAUGCCGCGUGUAUGAAGAAGGCCUUCGGGUUGUAAAGUACUUUCAGCGGGGAGGAAGGGAGUAAAGUUAAUACCUUUGCUCAUUGACGUUACCCGCAGAAGAAGCACCGGCUAACUCCGUG